rnacentral:rRNA from 1 species
AGUGGUACGCGAGCUGGGUUCAGAACGUCGUGAGACAGUUCGGUCCCUAUCUGUCGUGGGCGCAGGAUAUUUGAGAGGAGCUGUCCUUAGUACGAGAGGACCGGGAUGGACGCACCUCCGGUGCACCGGUUGUUCCGCCAGGAGCAUAGCCGGGUAGCCGUGUGCGGACGUGAUAAACGCUGAAGGCAUCUAAGCGUGAAACACACCUCAAGAUAAGAUAUCCCACAGCAUAAGCUGGUAAGGUCACUUGUAGACUACGAGUUUGAUAGGUCAGGAGUGUAAGCAUAGUAAUAUGUUCAGCGGACUGAUACUAAUAGACCGAGGGCUUGAACUG